GAUGAACGCUGGCGGCGUGCCUAAUACAUGCAAGUCGAGCGAACAGACGAGGAGCUUGCUCCUCUGACGUUAGCGGCGGACGGGUGAGUAACACGUGGAUAACCUACCUAUAAGACUGGGAUAACUUCGGGAAACCGGAGCUAAUACCGGAUAAUAUAUUGAACCGCAUGGUUCAAUAGUGAAAGACGGUUUUGCUGUCACUUAUAGAUGGAUCCGCGCCGCAUUAGCUAGUUGGUAAGGUAACGGCUUACCAAGGCAACGAUGCGUAGCCGACCUGAGAGGCUGAUCGGCCACACUGGAACUGGGACGCGGUCCAGACUCCUACGGGAGGCAGCAGUAGGGAAUCUUCCGCAAUGGGCGAAAGCCUGACGGAGCAACGCCGCGUGAGUGAUGAAGGUCUUCGGAUCGUAAAACUCGGUUAUUAGGGAAGAACAAAUGUGUAAGUAACUAUGCACGUCUUGACGGUACCUAAUCAGAAAGCCACGGCUAACUACGUG
rnacentral:rRNA from 1 species